rnacentral:rRNA from 1 species
UAAGUAGAUAGUGAAAGCGUCUCGCUCAACGGGAUACACAUUAUCUAAACUGCUUUGGCUAGAGAACGAGAGAGGUUAUUGGAAUUUCCAGUGUAGGAGUGAAAUCCGUAGAUAUUGGGAGGAACACCGAUGGCGUAGGCAGAUAACUGGCUCGUUUCUGACACUAAGGCACGAAAGCGUGGGGAGCAAACGGGAUUAGAUACCCCGGUAGUCCACGCCGUAAACUAUGGAUGCUA